AAGUCGUAACAAGGUUUCCGUAGGUGAACCUGCGGAAGGAUCAUUAGUGAAUUUAGAGCGUAACUUCGGUUAGCUCAACCUUCAUUUUCCAACUCUGUGCACUAUUGGCGGACUGAAAGUAGAAAUUACCCUAAGUCUCGGCUCAUUAUACUAAUAUAUAGUAAGUGUGUUAUAAAAUAAACUAAAAAAA
rnacentral:misc_RNA from 1 species